UUGGCCCUGAAUCAAGGCCAGCAGUUUGCUGAAGCUGUUGGUUUCAAGCAGGAGCCUAAAGAAAUGUCUUUCUAUGGUCUGUUGGCCAUUUCAGAACUUUGGAAAUGUAAUGGUCAAUUCAUGAGAAAGAAACAUCU
rnacentral:snoRNA from 2 species